CAGAAAAUAGUUUAAAAAAAACAUAAAUAUUGGGAAUUUAUAUUAAGAGUCUUUUCUUUUUUCUGA
rnacentral:tRNA from 1 species